UACGGGGGGGGCAAGCGUGGUUCGGAAUUACUGGGCGUAAAGGGUGCGUAGGCGGUUCGCUAAGUUGGAUGUGAAAACUAUGGGCUCAACCCAUAGCCUGCAUCCAAUACUGACGAACUAGAGUUCUGGAGGGGGUAGCGGAAUUCCUGGUGUAGCGGUGAAAUGCGUAGAUAUCAGGAGGAACACCGGUGGCGAAGGCGGCUCUCUGGACCACAACUGACGCUGAGGCGCGAAAGCUAGGGGAGCAAACAGG
rnacentral:rRNA from 1 species